rnacentral:misc_RNA from 1 species
UUUUUUUCCUGAGCAAUUGUUACCGAACACAACCUAAAUAAUUAAUUUAUAGUAAUAAUCCCUACGAAGUGCAAAGUGGAGUAGUGGACAAAUCACUUAUGGAAGCGGACGUUAGCAAGAGGUGCAUACAACGAGGGCACAGUGAAGUGGAAUGCACAUGCCAUCAUCUCCCUGUAUAUUAGUUAUCCAAAGGUCACUAGACUCGAAACCAAAAGCAAAUGAAGACAUCCUUGACAUCAACCACCACUUCCUUCUUGCAGCUCUGCUCAGUUGCCGGUAAUGGCACCUGUUUUCACAGAAAUGAUUCUGGGCUUCUGGGCAUCUCAAAAUUCCCAUCUCGUUGUCAUUUCCUCGAUUCAAAGGCGAAAGUUUUUCCUGUUAUUAGAUGCCAAUCGACAAAUACUGAUGAGCCAAAAACAAGGAACCUUCUGGACAAUGCAAGCAACCUACUUACCAGUUUGUUAAGUGGGGGAGGUCUAGGUUCUAUGCCUAUAGCAGAAGGCGCAGUAUCUGAUCUGUUUGGUCGUCCACUCUUCUUCUCACUGUAUGAUUGGUUCUUAGAGCAUGGAUCUGUUUAUAAACUUGCUUUUGGUCCAAAAGCCUUUGUUGUCAUAUCUGACCCCAUUGUUGCUAGACAUAUUCUUCGAGAAAAUGCAUUUUCUUAUGAUAAGGGAGUUCUUGCUGAUAUCCUAGAGCCAAUAAUGGGGAAAGGACUUAUACCUGCUGAUCUGGGCAUAUGGAAGCAAAGGAGAAGAGUAAUUGCUCCUGGGUUUCAUUCCUUAUAUUUGGAAGCUAUGGUCAAGAUAUUUACUGAUUGUUCAGAAAGAUCGACAUUGAAAUUUGAGCAACUGCUAGAAAGGGAAGAUUCUCUUGGCAGGAAUGUGAUUGAGUUAGAUCUUGAAGCAGAAUUUUCAAAUUUAGCACUUGAUAUCAUUGGGCUAGGGGUCUUCAACUAUGACUUUGGUUCUGUUACAAAAGAAUCACCUGUGAUUAAGGCAGUAUAUGGUACACUUUUUGAAGCUGAGCAUAGAUCCACUUUCUAUGUUCCUUACUGGAAAAUUCCUUUGGCAAGGUGGAUCGUCCCGAGACAGCGGAAGUUUCAAAAUGACCUUAAAAUUAUUAAUGACUGUCUUGAUGAACUCAUAAAAAAUGCAAAAGAGACCAGGCAGGAAACAGAUGUUGAGAAGUUGCAGCAAAGGGACUACUCAAAUCUUAAGGAUGCAAGUCUCUUGCGAUUUCUUGUUGAUAUGAGAGGAGCUGAUGCUGAUGAUGGUCAGCUAAGAGAUGACCUGAUGACGAUGCUUAUCGCUGGCCAUGAAACAACAGCUGCUGUUCUUACUUGGUCUAUUUUCCUUCUUGCACAGAAUCCCUCCAAAAUGAAAAAAGCUCAAGCAGAGAUUGAUACAGUGCUGGGUCAGGGGAGGCCAACUUUUGAUUUGCUUAAGAAAUUAGAGUACAUAAGACUUAUUGUUGUAGAGGCUCUUCGUUUGUAUCCUCAGCCUCCAUUGUUAAUUAGGCGUGCCCUCAAAUCAGAUGUUUUACCAGGUAUUUCUCAUUGGUAUCACUUUAAAAAAUAAUGGUAAUACCAAUUUCUGAAUUAUAUGUAGGGUUGUGUAAUCGGUGGGUUCAGUUCCAUAUUGAACUGCACAAACUGAAAAACCAAAAUUUUAUAAAAUAGAAAUCUAACUGAACCGAAAUAAUAGAAGAACCAAAUCAGUUUGGUUCGAUUCACUGUUUUUGAACAGACCCAUUACCCAGCAAGCAUAAUGAUGUCUUUCCACUUCUCUCUUUCAAUCCCACAAGCAGUAGAAUAGAACAUUUCAAUCCCACAAAAACAAGAAGCAGAAGAAUAUCCAUUUCAAUAAAUAUUUCAACAAAUUAAUUAACUAACAUAAUAUGUCAACUAAAUUCUAAAAAAAAAAAGCCCAAAUUGCUAACAUCCCAAAUCAAGCAACACUAGUGUAUUAUAAUCCAAAUCAAACACAUAAACCGGAAGCACUCUACCAAAAUCCUCCUCAAGGAUUCUUGCCAUCCUCCUAAACUCCUUAACAGAAUCAGAGGAUUUGAGAACAGAGGUGAGAACUGCAAGUGAAGGAGUGAAGCGAAAAGAAUUAUGACUCUGAAGAAACGAAGAUAAGAGCUGAAGAGCACAAGAAACAAAGAGAAGAAGGCGUGAAGAAAGGCGAGGCAAAUUGACUAUUGAGGUUGUUGAGGAUGAAGAUGAGGUGGAUCUGAUCUCUAAACUGAAGGCAAUGGGAAGUUGGGACUUGGGAACAAUCGGGAUUUUGAUUUGGGAAGGCUAAAAUGUAACAGAGAUGAUCAGGUCUAAAGGAACAUGGGCUUUGGAGGAUAUGGGCUCAACACUAAAAUGUAAGUCAUUAGGCCUGAGUCCUUUUAAUCGGUUGGUUUGGUUUUUAGUUGGUUUUUGACUAAAAUAAUUGAACCACAGACUAAAAUUUAUAAAAAAAAUAUAAACCGAACCGAACCAUAUAAAUCAAAAAACAAACUAAAUCAGUUUGGUUCAGUUUUUGGUUUUAACUGUUGAGUGCUCAUCCCUAGUUGUAUGCUUAAUUUUGAAGAAUUGGUUUUAAUUUGUACAAGUAUGGACUUGAUUCUUGGUAAAUAAACUAUUCUAUUGAUGUUCUCUUAAUGUCUGUUGAGCCUGUGAUACAGUUGCAGAGAAAUUGCAGCUGUGAAGGAAAAUCUUGAACAACCAAUAUUGUAUAUUUUAGGAAAAUUACUAAAACUCUCUCAAAAUAAAGCACUUUUAGUUGGUAAGUUUUUAAUCAAGGCACAAAGCUUACCCAAUAUUUGCUAGGAUGCUAUGUAAUAAAGAAUUUAAUAGAACGGGUAAUGUAAUAUAAUAGAAUGUAAUGGCCAUUUUGUUAGCAUGUUUUGUUGUAAACAUAACUCCCAUAUUUAGUUUAUUUGGUAACGUUGGUGGUGAUGGCUGGUAGUCGAUGCGAAGACGAGAAAAUUAGGAUUUACACGAAAUGAAGAACCCUUUUAUAUGAAAACUUGCUUGAACUCUGAAGAUGGGUGAAUUACGUUAAGUACAAAUUUAUGGACUCGUAAGAUAGUCAUGUAAAGUCAACUAACACUUAAUUUGGAAUGGAAAUUUCAAAGUGCCAUUUAUUUCUUCCAAUUCAGAAGUGCAUAUCCUUGCUGCACGUGGGAAUGACAGAGCUUCCUAUGGUUGGGGAAAUCAGAGAGUAUCUAUUAUGGACAUGGUUUUGGAAUUGCUUUUGGCUUUAUCAAUGCCUUAAGUGAUGUUUAAUAAUAUGGUCUUCUUUGCUUGUGAAACAUAUGGAUGUAUCUAUCAAAAUUGCUUUAAGCAAAGUACUUGGAUUGCACAGGAGGAUACAAGGGGGACAAAGAUGGUUAUGCAAUUCCUAGUGGGACUGAUAUUUUUAUUUCUGUAAGUGCUUCCAUUUCUAUUUCUUUUUUUCUGAUCUUUUGCAUAGCUUGUGUGGGGAAUAGUAGAAAAAGAAAGAAAAAAAAAAGUGGGAGAUGGGCGGGAAGUACCUUGCGCAUGAAUGUUUAGCCUAGCUUUGUUGAGCAUGCGCUUAGAUAGAAUUUGUUCUUGUCGGUUCUGCAGAACUUCUGCUUCCCUUCUAUUUUUUCAUUAAAAUUCUUGUCCAUUCAGCUAUAUAAUCUUCAUAGAUCCCCAUAUUUUUGGGACUCGCCUAAUGAAUUUGAACCAGAAAGGUUUUUAGUGCAAAGAAAGAAUGAAGAAAUUGAAGGAUGGGCUGGUUUUGAUCCAUCUAGGAGCCCAGGAGCAUUAUACCCAAAUGAGAUUAUAUCAGAUUUUGCCUUCCUACCCUUCGGCGGUGGACCAAGGAAAUGUGUUGGGGACCAAUUUGCCCUUAUGGAGUCAACCGUAGCACUGGCUAUGUUGUUGCAGAAGUUUGAUGUGGAGCUGAAGGCCUCUCCAGAAUUAGUGGAAUUGGUCACAGGGGCAACAAUUCAUACCAAGAAUGGAUUGUGGUGUAAAUUGAGGAAGCGAUCUAAUGUUCAUUGACAUUCCAAUAGUGUCGAGGUUCUGAUAGAGCAAGGAACACAGAACAAUGAAAAUGUAAUUGUGUUAAUUACUAAGAACUGUAAGUAAUACAGAGCAAAUUCUCAGAUUACAAACUCAAGCAAUCCUUCUCACUACACUGGAAUGCAUAAAACAAGAACAAGAUAAGAAACUUCCAAAUAACCAGAGAAUGUAGCUCUCUAGCCCCAAGCGAUAAUGCCAAAAUUAAUAACAGAAUUCUUCACACCUUUUCUCCUCUUUCUUUCUCUAUUUAUAGAUAUUCAAUUUUUCUAUCCAUUAGAAGAAUCUCCAGGUGGCAUCUUCUGCAUAAUCCUCUGCAAAAGAAUAGGCUCCUCCAUUCUCAUUCCCUCCAGCCUCAUUAUUUCCAGAUGCUGCUGCUCCCUUCAUCUUUCUUCAAAAAUAAACCCUGGGUUUGUAACCUUUCCGGCUGAGCCCAUCUUCUCAUCUUGAUCCAUAACAAUUUGGUGCUGUUACUUCUUGAACGUAUAUCCUUUGGAAUAAUGUACAUGGCUUGAUUCACUUGCUUUUUUCGUUUAAUGUGAUUGCUAGGUAAAGAAGUUAUCAAGCAAUUCUAAAACUGCAUAUUUAGUCUGUGUAAUCCUUGAAGGGAUGCACUUGGCAAAGUUAUGAAUCUCUAUGCAAAUUAGAUCAGGAUUUUCUUGUUAAAUUCAAAUUAAUAAAUUUUCCAUUGCAUUAAUUGCUGCAUAAACUGCAUUUGAAACAAGAAAAAAAAAAGUGUGGUGGUCCUAGUUUUCUCUUUUGGCUGAUGCUCAUCUUCUUAUUUGGAAGAGUUCAUGGAUUUAAUUGAAUAGUCGAUAGGUCAUCCGAAUUUUACUUGUUGCAGACAUCUCUGGAUUAUUAUGGCAUAAACAUUAUUGUUUAUUAUGUCAGGUGAACAUAUUGUCUUAAUUUUAAGUUUUGGUUCUUUCAGGUGGGUCUGACAAGUCCUGGU